GAUGAACGCUAGCUACAGGCUUAACACAUGCAAGUCGCGGGGCAGCAUGGGGGUGGCUUGCACUCCCCGAUGGCGACCGGCGCACGGGUGAGUAACGCGUAUCCAACCUGCCCUUCACCACGGGAUAACCCGGCGAAAGUCGGACUAAUACCGUAUGUUGUCCAUUGACGGCAUCCGAUUUGGACGAAAGGUUUGGCGGUGAAGGAUGGGGAUGCGUCCGAUUAGCUGGACGGCGGGGUGACGGCCCACCGUGGCGACGAUCGGUAGGGGUUCUGAGAGGAAGGUCCCCCACACUGGAACUGAGACACGGUCCAGACUCCUACGGGAGGCAGCAGUGAGGAAUAUUGGUCAAUGGGCGUAAGCCUGAACCAGCCAAGUAGCGUGCAGGAUGACGGCCCUAUGGGUUGUAAACUGCUUUUAUGCGGGGAUAAAGUGGCCCACGUGUGGGUUUUUGCAGGUACCGCAUGAAUAAGGACCGGCUAAUUCCGUG
rnacentral:rRNA from 1 species